rnacentral:rRNA from 1 species
GGCCCGCACAAGCGGUGGAGUAUGUGGUUUAAUUCGACGCAACGCGCAGAACCUUACCAGCCUUGACAUCCCUGGACAACCGUAGAGAUACGGCUUUCUCUCGCAAGAGAGACCGGUGACAGGUGCUGCAUGGCUGUCGUCAGCUCGUGUCGUGAGAUGUUCGGUUAAGUCCGGUAACGAGCGCAACCCCUGUCCUUAGUUGCCAUCAUUCAGUUGGGCACUCUAAGGAGACUCCCGGUGUUAAACCGGCGGAAGAUGGGGAUGACGUCAAGUCCUCAUGGCCCUUACGGCUGGGGCUACACACGUACUACAAUGGCAACUACAAAGAGCAGCAAAGUCGCGAGGCCAAGCAAAUCUCAAAAAGUUGACCUCAGUUCGGAUUGGAGUCUGCAACUCGACUCCAUGAAGUUGGAAUCGCUAGUAAUCG